ACGCUGGCGGCAGGCCUAACACAUGCAAGUCGAGCGGUAGAGAGAAGCUUGCUUCUCUUGAGAGCGGCGGACGGGUGAGUAAUGCCUAGGAAUCUGCCUGGUAGUGGGGGAUAACGUUCGGAAACGGACGCUAAUACCGCAUACGUCCUACGGGAGAAAGCAGGGGACCUUCGGGCCUUGCGCUAUCAGAUGAGCCUAGGUCGGAUUAGCUAGUUGGUGGGGUAAUGGCUCACCAAGGCGACGAUCCGUAACUGGUCUGAGAGGAUGAUCAGUCACACUGGAACUGAGACACGGUCCAGACUCCUACGGGAGGCAGCAGUGGGGAAUAUUGGACAAUGGGCGAAAGCCUGAUCCAGCCACGCCGCGUGUGUGAAGAAGGUCUUCGGAUUGUAAAGCACUUUAAGUUGGGAGGAAGGGCAGUAAAUUAAUACUUUGCUGUUUUGACGUUACCGACAGAAUAAGCACCGGCUAACUCUGUGCCAGCAGCCGCGGUAAUACAGAGGGUGCAAGCGUUAAUCGGAAUUACUGGGCGUAAAGCGCGCGUAGGUGGUUCGUUAAGUUGGAUGUGAAAUCCCCGGGCUCGGCCUGGGAACUGCAUUCAAAACUGACGAGCUAGAGUAUGGUAGAGGGUGGUGGAAUUUCCUGUGUAGCGGUGAAAUGCGUAGAUAUAGGAAGGAACACCAGUGGCGAAGGCGACCACCUGGACUGAUACUGACACUGAGGUGCGAAAGCGUGGGGAGCAAAC
rnacentral:rRNA from 1 species